rnacentral:misc_RNA from 1 species
AAAAGCCUUAAUCCAAGAAAAAUCUCUAGUUGCUUCUGACGAGAACUAUCUACAACAGCAUUCUUAUAUCUUCUCUGAAGAGUAAUUUUCAUAUUCUGUGCAGCAGAGAACUGUUUAAACUUGCCUGCUUCUUCAUUAAAUAUGCUAAGAAUUUGGCUGUGCAUAGCUUUGGAGCCAGUAUACAAUGUUGCAUGGAUGUCACCAGCAAGCAAAAAUAAAUCUGCUAAUUGUGAGACAGGUGAUAAGAUUGUCGAUCUCUUGAAGUCAUCGAAUGUCAUAUCAAAUCUCUUCCAGGGUUUAUCUGGACAGGGAUGAUUCCAAGUAGUU